UGAGGUAUAGUUUAACGAAAAAUGAGGGUCUUUGAUUCCCUUGAUAGAAGGUCAUAACUUUUUACCUCAG
rnacentral:tRNA from 1 species